rnacentral:rRNA from 1 species
GGGGAAUAUUGGGCAAUGGGGGAAACCCUGACCCAGCAACGCCGCGUGAAGGAAGAAGGCCUUCGGGUUGUAAACUUCUUUGACGAGGGACGAAACAAAUGACGGUACCUCGAAAACAAGCCACGGCUAACUACGUGCCAGCAGCCGCGGUAAUACGUAGGUGGCAAGCGUUGUCCGGAUUUACUGGGUGUAAAGGGCGCGUAGGCGGGACUGCAAGUCGGAUGUGAAAUACCGGGGCUUAACCCCGGGGCUGCAUUUGAAACUGUGGUUCUUGAGUGUCGGAGAGGCAGGCGGAAUUCCUAGUGUAGCGGUGAAAUGCGUAGAUAUUAGGAGGAACACCAGUGGCGAAGGCGGCCUGCUGGACGAUAACUGACGCUGAGGCGCGAAAGCGUGGGGAGCAAAC